AUACGGAGGGGGCUAGCGUUGUUCGGAAUUACUGGGCGUAAAGCGCGCGUAGGCGGCUUAUCAAGUUAGGCGUGAAAGGCCUGGGCUCAACCCGGGAACUGCGCUUAAUACUGGUAGACUUGAGUCCGGGAGAGGGUGGCGGAAUUCCCAGUGUAGAGGUGAAAUUCGUAGAUAUUGGGAAGAACACCAGUGGCGAAGGCGGCCACCUGGCUCGGUACUGACGCUGAGGUGCGAAAGCGUGGGGAGCAAACAGGAUUAGAAACCCCAGUAGUCC
rnacentral:rRNA from 1 species